rnacentral:rRNA from 2 species
UGGGGAAUAUUGGGCAAUGGGGGGAACCCUGACCCAGCAACGCCGCGUGAAGGAAGAAGGUUUUCGGAUUGUAAACUUCUGUCCUUGGUGAAGAGGAAGAGACGGUAGCCAAGGAGGAAGCCCCGGCUAACUACGUGCCAGCAGCCGCGGUAAUACGUAGGGGGCGAGCGUUGUCCGGAAUGAUUGGGCGUAAAGGGCGCGUAGGCGGUCAUGUAAGUCUGGAGUGGAAGUCCAAUUUUCAAGGUUGGAAGUGCUAUUGAAACUGCAGGGGUUGAGGGCAGGAGAGGUUAGCGGAAUUCCCGGUGUAGCGGUGAAAUGCGUAGAGAUCGGGAGGAACACCAGUGGCGAAGGCGGGUAACUGGACUGCAACUGACGCUGAGGCGCGAAAGUGUGGGGAGCAAACUGG